rnacentral:misc_RNA from 1 species
UAGUUGAAGCCGGGGAUUAUCUCGAAAAUUCGAUUUGGGGGUUUGGAAUUCUCGAAUUCUGAUUCUGGGUAAUUGAAAUAAAUGAGUUUGGAUUUGGUUUUGGGGUGGGGUGUUGUCCUCUUUGCGUUCCUCCCCUUGAAUCUCGUGGUGAAGAUCUUCAGAUUCAGGUUUAAAUUUAAAUUUUAAGUUGAAUUGAAGUACUGGGUUGUGCGGAUUCUUCUUUUGGAUUUGAGGGGUUUAAGUGGGUUCAGUUUGAUGGGGGCUAAUCUUUCGGAUAACAGUGGAAGAAAUUGUUCUUUAUUGAUGUCUGGGCUUGAAGAUAUGCCGGAAAAUUGUGUGGCUCUGGUUUUGAUGCAUAUGGACCCGCCGGAGAUUUGUAAAUUGGCUGGAGUUAAUCGGCUGUUUCGCGACGCUGCGUCGGCGGAUUUCAUAUGGGAGUCGAAAUUGCCUUCAAAUUAUCAGUUUCUGAUGGAUAAAGCAUUCGAGUUCGACGAGAAAGAGAAAGCUAUGGUGAAUUUGAGGAAGAAAGAUGUGUAUUCUAGGCUCUGUAGAAGAAACCCCUUAAAUGGCGUCUCAAAGGAGUUUUGGUUGGACAAGAAAACUGGAGGGUUAUCAAUGGCGAUUUCUUGGAAAGCAUUGACAAUUACUGGAAUUGAUGAUAGGAGAUAUUGGAAUCAUAUCUUCACUGAGGAAUCCAGAUUUCAGACGAUAGCUUAUCUUUAUCAAACAUGGUGGUUGGAAGUGAAUGGAGAGCUCAAGUUCCAAUUCCCCGAAGGAAGAUAUUCGGUGUUCUUUAGGCUCCAUCUUGGCAAACCAUUGAAGAGACUUGGUCGUCGGGUCUGCAACACGGAUCAAAUCCAUGGCUGGGACAUAAAGCCGGUGAGGUUUCAGCUGACGACUUCCGAUAAUCAGCACACUGAAUCGAAGUGUUUCUUGGGGAGUCCUGGGAAUUGGGUGAACUACCAUGUGGGAGAUUUCACCAUUGGAAGUAGUGGGAGCAACAGUUUGAUGAAACUUAAAUUCUCAUUGACUCAGAUUGAUUGCACUCACACCAAA